AAAACGACUCUCGGCAACGGAUAUCUAGGCUCUCGCAUCGAUGAAAAACGUAGCGAAAUGCGAUACUUGGUGUGAAUUGCAGAAUCCCGCGAAUCAUCGAGUUUUUGAACGCAAGUUGCGCCCGAAGCCAUUCGGCCGAGGACACGUCUGCCUGGGUGUCACGC
rnacentral:rRNA from 1 species